rnacentral:tRNA from 1 species
GCCGGAAAGCUCAGUUGGUAGAGCAGAGGACUGAAAAUCCUCGUGUCACC